UACGAAGGGGGCUAGCGUUGCUCGGAAUCACUGGGCGUAAAGCGCACGUAGGCGGCUUCUUAAGUCAGGGGUGAAAUCCUGGAGCUCAACUCCAGAACUGCCUUUGAUACUGAGAAGCUUGAGUCCGGGAGAGGUGAGUGGAACUGCGAGUGUAGAGGUGAAAUUCGUAGAUAUUCGCAAGAACACCAGUGGCGAAGGCGGCUCACUGGCCCGGUACUGACGCUGAGGUGCGAAAGCGUGGGGAGCAAGCAGG
rnacentral:rRNA from 1 species